GAAUAUUGGACAAUGGGCGAAAGCCUGAUCCAGCCAUGCCGCGUGUGUGAAGAAGGUCUUCGGAUUGUAAAGCACUUUAAGCUGGGAGGAAGGGGUUGAAGCUAAUACCUUCAAUCUUGGACGUUACCAACAGAAUAAGCACCGGCUAACGUAGGUCCAGCAGCCGCGGUAAUACGAAGGGUGCAAGCGUUAAUCGGAAUUACUGGGCGUAAAGCGCGCUUAGGUGGUUCAGUAAGAUGGAAGUGAAAUCCCCGGGCUUAACCUGGGAACUGCUUUCAUAACUGCUGAGCUAGAGUACGGUAGAGGGUAGUGGAAUUUCCUGUGUAGCGGUGAAAUGCGUAGAUAUAGGAAGGAACACCAGUGGCGAAGGCGACUACCUGGACUGAUACUGACACUGAGGUGCGAAAGCGUGGGGAGCAAACAGG
rnacentral:rRNA from 1 species